rnacentral:rRNA from 1 species
CUAAUACAUGCAAGUCGAACGAUACCAGAGAGCUUGCUUUCUGGGAAAGUGGCGCACGGGUGCGUAACGCGUAUGCAACCUACCUUAAUCAGGGGGAUAGCCUCUCGAAAGAGAGAUUAACACCGCAUAAAAUCACAGUCCGGCAUCGGACAAUGAUCAAAUAUUUAUAGGAUUAAGAUGGGCAUGCGUGACAUUAGCUAGUUGGUAAGGUAACGGCUUACCAAGGCUACGAUGUCUAGGGGAUCUGAGAGGAUGACCCCCCACACUGGUACUGAGACACGGACCAAACUCCUACGGGAGGCAGCAGUAAGGAAUAUUGGUCAAUGGGGGCAACCCUGAACCAGCCAUGCCGCGUGCAGGAAGACGGCCCUACGGGUUGUAAACUGCUUUUAUACGGGAAUAAACCCCUUUACGUGUAAAGGGUUGAAUGUACUGUAAGAAUAAGGAUCGGCUAACUCCGUGCCAGCAGCCGCGGUAAUACGGAGGAUCCAAGCGUUAUCCGGAUUUAUUGGGUUUAAAGGGUGCGUAGGCGGCCUAUUAAGUCAGGGGUGAAAGACGGUGGCUCAACCAUCGCAGUGCCCUUGAUACUGAUGGGCUUGAUUACACUUGAGGUAGGCGGAAUGUGACAAGUAGCGGUGAAAUGCAUAGAUAUGUCACAGA